AGCAAUUGGGAAGGAUCGUCCUGUAUUAUCUAUCAUGGUUAUUAGCUAGCAAGAGUGAUGCCACAAGUGGAUCUGCCCAGUAAAUUUGUUAAUUACUUCCUUGCAAGAAUGAGUUGAGUUUGGUUUCUAAUCCCUCAAGUCUAUUCAAGAUUGCCCAUUUUUUAGUUACAUACAAAUAUGCACCUUGAUUGCUAUGCAUAAUCACCAGAGUUUUAAAAUCAGAAUGGGGCAAUAAAUGUGUCCACUAUGACAAAGUGAAGACAAAACGAAUGCAUCGAGUUACUAAUGCAGUGGUUUUCAAGGUUGGACAUUGAUAUCAACUAUGAUUAUUUAAUAGAGAAAUUCUGUUCAUAUGAAGCGAAAGAAAAGCAUGCAGUACCUUACAUUGACAGUGAUUAUUAGGCCAUUGUGGUACUUCAAAUUCUGAUAAAGAAUAUAUAUCAUGACCGAGAUUUGGGAUUUGGAGAAUCUCAAUUCUGAUAUGUACAUGCAUCUCCUUUUAUUUUGUCACGCUAUUGAAUGUUCUGAUAUGGGACUACUUACUCUGUAUAUCUCUUAUAUAUAAUAAAAUUGUCUAUAUGUAAA